AGAGUUUGAUCCUGGCUCAGAUUGAACGCUGGCGGCAUGCCUUACACAUGCAAGUCGAACGGUAACAGCACUUCGGUGGCUGACGAGUGGCGAACGGGUGAGUAAUACAUCGGAACGUGCCCGAGAGUGGGGGAUAACGCAGCGAAAGCUGUGCUAAUACCGCAUACGAUCUACGGAUGAAAGCAGGGGACCGCAAGGCCUUGCGCUCACGGAGCGGCCGAUGGCAGAUUAGGUAGUUGGUGGGAUAAAAGCUUACCAAGCCGACGAUCUGUAGCUGGUCUGAGAGGACGACCAGCCACACUGGGACUGAGACACGGCCCAGACUCCUACGGGAGGCAGCAGUGGGGAAUUUUGGACAAUGGGCGAAAGCCUGAUCCAGCCAUGCCGCGUGCAGGAUGAAGGCCUUCGGG
rnacentral:rRNA from 1 species